CCGGGUAUGGAGACAGAGCAACGAGACGCUACCAGUUUCUGAUUGGACAGUCGGCAGAGCGUGCAAAACUGCUGCUCCUGGAGGGGAAAGUACAAACGCAUGGCGCGAGAAUGGUGACAAAGACUUUGCGAGGACCGGAGUCUACAUGGUAUUGCCAAUCAGAGCCUCUCAGCUUGUAGUUGGCCGUCACUGAUAAACGAUGGGGAAUAGCAGACUGUUCGCCCUUCUGCAGGCUGCCUGCCAAUGCAUGCUUGUUGCAACCCGUGUUUUGACAACUCAAUGGGAACUUGCCUGCCUGCCUGCCUGCCUGCCUGCCUGCCUGCCUGCCUGCCUGCCUGCCUGCCUGCCUGCCUGCCUGCCUGCCCGCCAAUCUGAAUGAUUCCAAAUACAUUUGAUUGACAACUAAGAGAUAUGCUAACUGUGGAUAACGGUCAUUCAAGUUCAGCAUAGCUACCUAGCAAAGUGAUUCACAUUUCUUGUUAGGUAACCAAAUGACACCUGCAUCUCCAGCAGUAGAACCGAAAAAAGAUAUGGAGGUGAAAGGUCGUCCUCUCACCCACUUGUACAAUGACUGGACAUCCUCCCAGCAGCUAGCUAACAUUAGGUGCCGUGUUUAGCUUGCUAAAUAAACAACUACAUAAAUAGAUAAGCUAGCCUAUUAGCCCCGUUUUAACUGACUUGCGAUCAUUGCCCUUGCUAGUUUGAUUGUAUUGAUAUUCCCAGCCUUCAGUAACAUUUGUCAGUUUUUGUCCACAAUAUUGAUUAAUUGAAACUGAAACUGCAUCCUGAAUGGCUGGAGGCAGCAACGUACCAGACCAGCUGUGCUUUACAACCUUAUAGCAAUAUUUGUUAGACUACAAAGAAAUGUAUUGGUGAAUUGUAUUAAACUGCAUAUCCAUC